rnacentral:rRNA from 2 species
UCUGGUGUCAGCCGCCCCGGUAAAACCAGCCCCUCAAGGGGUCAGGAGGUUUAUUGGGCCUAAAGCUUCCGUAGCCGGUUGUUUAAUUUUUCGGUUAAUUCUAUGGGCUUAACGAAUAGGCUGCCGAAAAUACUGGAAAGUUAGGAAGGGGAAAAGGUAAACGGAACUCAAGAGGAAGGGGUAAAAUCCUUUAAUCUGUUGAUAACCACCUGUGGCAAAGGCGGCGUACCAAAACACGUUCAACGGUGAGGAAUAAAAGCUGGGGAAGCAAACCGAAUUAAAUACCCGGGUAGCCCCAGCUGUAAACAAUGCAAACUCGGGGAUGAUUUGGCUUGUGGCCAAUGCAUGGCCGCAGGGAAGCCGUUAAUUUUGCCGCCUGGGAAGUCCGUACGCAAGUUUGAAACUUAAAGGAAUUGGCGGGGGAGCACCACAAGGGGUGAAGCCUGCGGUUCAUUUGAAGUCAACGCCAGAAAUCUUACCCGGAACAACACAAAAAUAAAGGUCAAGCUAAAAACUUUACCAAACAAGCU